UACGUAGGGUGCGAGCGUUGUCCGGAAUCACUGGGCGUAAAGGGCGCGUAGGCGGCCUGAUAAGUAGGGGGUGAAAUCCUGAGGCUUAACCUCAGGGCUGCCUUCUAAACUGUCGGGCUCGAGCACAGUAGAGGCAGGUGGAAUUCCCGGUGUAGCGGUGGAAUGCGUAGAGAUCGGGAAGAACAUCAGUGGCGAAGGCGGCCUGCUGGGCUGUUGCUGACGCUGAGGCGCGACAGCGUGGGGAGCAAACAGG
rnacentral:rRNA from 1 species